rnacentral:tRNA from 1 species
CCCCGGGGUAGCUCAGUUGGAUAGAGCGUGUGGCUACGAACCACAAGGUCGGGAGUUCGAAUCUCCCCGGGGCGC